rnacentral:lncRNA from 1 species
GGUUGGUCUCCAGCUCCUGGCCUCAAGUGAUCUGACCGCCUCAGCCUUCCAAAGUGCUGGGAUUACAGGCAUACGCCACCACGCCCAGCCUCUAUAUUAUUAAUUUUGUGCCUUGUUCCUAUCUGCUUUUAACACUCAUAGAAAAGUGAAGAGUUGUCUUUUUUUUUUUUUUUUCAAAUAAUCUGCUUGUCCCAUUUUUCUCUCCAAAUAAAAGCAACCGAAGACUCUUCUACUUACCCCUGGCAAUUGAUGAUAUGCUCCGAAGAUGCUCUUGAAGAAGGGCUAGAUGACUGUUGGUGUAUCUCAUGCUGGCCAUGAUGAGCCUGUCUUAAUACAAUCUAGAAGCAGUAGCCUUGCAGAAGGAGGCCAAGUCAGCAGGACCCAGGAUCCAGUGACAUCCCUGACAAACUUCAGAUUCCUGGGCAAGUCACAUGACCCCUCUGUCCCUCUCCACCAGUAAAAUAAGAACCAUAAAAACUACUCAAAUGUAGUCAGAUGGCCCGGGCUGGAAUUCUGGCUCCAUCACAUAUUAGUUGAGUGACCUGGGACGUACUCGUUCCCUUUUCUAUGCCUUAAUCUCCUGCUCCAUAAAACAGGGAUAAAACUGUAAU